rnacentral:rRNA from 1 species
GGGGUUGUUAAAUCAGAGAUGAAAUCCCCCCGGGUUCACCCCGGGAAAUGCAUUUUAAANUUUUGGCUAUAGUAGGUGAGAGGGAGAGUAGAAUUUCUGGUGUAUCGGUGAAAUGUGUAGAGAUAUGAAAAAAUACCGAUGGGGAAGGCAGCUUCCUGGCGUCAUAUUGACACUGAGGCUCGAAAGAGUGGGUAGCAAACACGAUUAGAGACCCCGGUAGUCCACGCCGUAAAAGAUGUGUAUUAGUGGCUGGGUCCCCUGAGGAAUUAGAGAGGCAGCUAACACACUAAAUAUACCCCCCGGGGAGUACGGCCGCAAAAUUAAAAAUCUAAAGAAUUGACGGGGGGCCCCACAAGAGGUGGAGCACGUGGUUUAAUUUGAGGCAACACGAAGAACCCUACCUGGUCUUGACACAUCCAGAAUCCUGCAGAGAUGCGGGAGUGCCUUCUGGAAUUAUAAUACAGGUGUUGCAUGGCUGUGUUCAGAUCGUGUCGUGAGAUGUUGGGUUAAGUCCCGCAACGAGAGCAACCCCUGUCUUUAGUUACCAGCGGGUUAAGCCGGGAACUCUAAGGAUACUGCCAGUGACAAACUGGAGGAAGGCGGGGACGACGUCAAGUCAUCAUGGCCCUUACGACCAGGGCUACACACGUGCUACAAUGGUCGGUACAGAGGGCAGCCACACAGCGAUGUGAUGCUAAUCUCAAAAAGCCUAUCGUAGUCCAGAUUGGAGUCUGCAACUCGACUCCAUGAAGUAGGAAUCGCUAGUAAUCGCGGAUCAGAAUGCCGCGGUGAAUACGUUCCCGGGCCUUGUACACACCGCCCGUCACACCAUGGGAGUUGCUUGUUCCAGAAAUCGAUAGUCUAACAGUCGUAACGGNGUAACCACUAGAGUUU